rnacentral:misc_RNA from 1 species
UCUCCGUUAUCCGGAGCAGUCCUCUUAGAGUUCCCCCUUGCGGGUGGCAACUAAGAGUAAGGGUUGCGCUCGUUGCGGGACUUAACCCAACAUCUCACGACACGAGCUGACGACAGCCAUGCAGCACCUGUGUUCCGAUUCCCUUUCGGGCACACCCAAAUCUCUUCGGGCUCUCGGACAUGUCAAGGGUAGGUAAGGUUUUUCGCGUUGCAUCGAAUUAAUCCACAUAAUCCACCGCUUGUGCGGGUCCCCGUCAAUUCCUUUGAGUUUUAGCCUUGCGGCCGUACUCCCCAGGCGGGAUGCUUAAAGCGUUAGCUACGGCACAGAGGGGGUCGAUACCCCCCACACCUAGCAUCCACCGUUUAGGGCGUGGACUAC